rnacentral:misc_RNA from 1 species
GAAAUGCGAUAAGUAGUGUGAAUUGCAGAAUUCAGUGAAUCAUCGAAUCUUUGAACGCACAUUGCGCUCUCUGGUAUUCCGGAGAGCAUGCCCGUUUCAGUAUCAUUAGGAACUCACCGUUCGUUCUGGCUUAGUCGGAGGAGGACAGGUGGAUGUUGGAUGGUUUGGGUCUCCACCCAAACAUCUUAAAACUAUGGUGCGUGCUCCAGCUGAAGUCAGAUGGAUGUUAAGGUGCAACAGAAAUUUUCUAUUCACUUUGACGUUGAUUGACGAGGUUGGUUGCGUGUGCUCCUGGUCGACGGUUGGACUGUGGAAGCAGUCUUACUGGUAACUUGGUCUGAAAUCGGGCAAGAAAACCCGCUGAACUUAA